UUUUCGAUUUCGGCCCAUGCAUUUAAUCUUUUUGCUGCAAUAGUGUGAUUGAUUGUUGUGAGUGCAAAAGUAUAUUUAUGAUCCUACUUUCUUAUUUAUUUCACACAAGAAUCAAUUUGUUGCUAUAAAUUCGUUCCAACUUUACUCCAUGAUCAAGAUGUACAUAU